UGCACAUCAGGAACAGUCCCUCUCACACUUGCAUAGUGGCUUGAGCAAAGUUCUUAGAUUUUGGCUGCACGGACACACAGGAGGAAGGUGAGCUGAUUCAUCAGCCCCGCGUUAGAGGCACAUAAUGGAAUAUAAUGGAAGGGGAAAGACUAAUAGCAGAGGAGCAGAAAAAGUGGAAAUCCACAGCUUUCUAGGAUCUCCUUAAAGGGGAAUCCCCCGCCGAGGAGAAUCUGGUUUACGGGAGUCCCAUCAGCUGCCUGGGUGCAGGGUGCGAGCAGGGGCAGCUGCCACCUACGGCCCCCUCUGGCCAGCGCCUGGGGACUUUGCUGCCGUCCCAGCCGGCGCCACGCUCCCCCUUGUAUUUGUCAUCCUAAUAAAAGUUUCUCGG